GGAAAGGAGAGCCAGAGUGAGGAAUAUGGAUGGGUGGGUACUGCCGAAUACGAGCCCUGAAGCCAGCAUUCCUUGUUAGUGAUAUUUGGAGGUGAGUGCCAAUCCCUUUGAAGCCAAAAGAGGACCAACCACACACAACAUGGAGAGAAGACUUUCAUCUUCAUCUGACUUCCACUAUCCUCUUUGGCAAGGUCACCACAAGCAUCUCCAAUAGCCCUCUGCAGUCAACACAUGCCACAACCCCAUACUAGCUUCUGUCCAGCAACAAACUCUUGUCAUCGACAUGAACUUCUAUUCAUGCUAUUAGAUCUGAGUGAUUUAUACGCAUAACUCAUUGCAGAAGAGUAAGAAGAAAGGAACUGGCAUCUCCUGUCAGUUGUGCCAAAGGAGGAAGAGAUCCUGAAUAAAUGACUGGAUGCUCAGAAAUAAUACCAAUGGGAUGGAUACCUUGGGAUAUCUGAGGCCUGGUGAUCCAUGCCACAAAAUGAGGUGGUUAAAAUCUGGUAGAUUCCUACCAGUAGAUGGUACCAUUUCAAAACAAGAGGUAAGGGCACCAACCUCCAGCAAGUGAAAAUUGCACAUCAGAUGUGCUACUUCUCUGACAGCUCUCUGUUUGCAGAGAAGGUUUUCAUUUUUUUCUCAUGUAUGGGAAACUUCAAAGGUGUGAUCCUCACCUGCAGCCUGAAAUGGUGCAGCCCACUCACAUCAGUCAGCUGCAUGUGUAGACUGAACCUCAAGAAAGAAGAGAGCAUUGGGGACUUCCGGGAAGGGUGACUUAGCCUGUGCCUGCUUUUGAGACGGGCUCCUGCCUCAAAAGAAGCUUAUUCAGAUAUAUCAGUCAGUUUUUUCUUUUUUUUUUGACUGAUUAAACUUCUCCCGGGUAGGGAGAAACGAAGAGAUUAACCUCAAAGCCUAUUUUU